AUGUCAUUGUACAGUGGAACCCUCUAAACCGGCAUUCAUUGGGACCGACAAAAAAUGCCAGUAUAGAGGGCGUGCGGGUUUAGAUAACUUUUCCCUUUUCAAUCUGAGAAUGAUCUUCCGUGUGCCGUAAACUACGACUGAACAACGUGCUGAUAGUCAUCAUAUUCAUCAAUAAAGAUAACAUCCGGUAAAGCACGGAAAAACA